rnacentral:rRNA from 1 species
ACAACUUUUAACAAUGGAUCUCUUGGCUCUUGCAUCGAUGAAGAACGCAGCGAAAUGCGAUAAGUAAUGUGAAUUGCAGAAUUCAGUGAAUCAUCGAAUCUUUGAACGCACCUUGCGCUCUCUGGUAUUCCGGGGAGCACACCUGUUCGAGUGU